rnacentral:lncRNA from 1 species
CCAGUGUAAUUUUUCUGACAAAACGGUUGGUUCAAAAUUUUUAAAAUUUUUAUAUUUUUGUUAAAGGGUCAAAGUAAAUAUUUUGACAAAAUUUUAUGAAAAUUAAACGAGCCAAAUUAGUUUUAGUGAAAGUGUUGGGUACCACCUUCAAAAUCAAAUAAAAUCAAGUAUUAGAGUCUAGAGAAGAAUGAAUGUCUCUGUUUUCUAGUGUAUAUCACAAGCUAUUUAAAAGUCAUGUACACAUGAUUUGUGGAAUAAAAUAGUGAUACAAUGAAUUACAGCAGGAAAUUAAAAUUUUCUUCAAUGGGUUCAUAACAUACAUUUUACUUGAGCAGAAACUAGAUAAAAUACUACAUUCAUUUCAAUUGUUCUAUUUUAUAGAAAGUAUAAGAAGAUAAUUUUGUUUCAAAUACAAAGUAGGUACAUAUUAGCAUCAUGAUGAAUUCUGAUCACAUUGUAUUACUCUGUAUACUAAAGCUAUUAAGAUGUAAAAUAAUUGAUCCAUUUGUCACUCAUGUUACAUUUUUAGCCAUUGGUCAAGUGGUUCUAUCAGAGCAGAACUUUUUUUUGUUUGAAAAAGUUCAUAUAAACUGAAACCAAGAGAUGAAAAAACAUAGCACACAUUGCCCAUAGGCCACUGAAGGUGACUUAAAAACGUUUGCUGAACAAAUACCAAAAUAAGAUACAGAAUUUACAGAAUUUUGAAAGAAAUAAAAAUUGGUAAAAUAUUGC